rnacentral:pre_miRNA from 2 species
GUGGGAUUAUCAAGUGUAACAGCAACUCCAUGUGGACUGUGUAUGAAUUUCCAGUGGAGAUGCUGUUACUUUUGAUGGUCACCAA